rnacentral:tmRNA from 1 species
GGGGGCGUAAAGGUUUCGACGGGGAUUUUGACAUACAGUAAGCGGGUAGAGACGCCUGAUCUCUUUAAAAUUGGCAACUUAAAAUUAAACGCUAACACUGAAUUAGCAGCCGCGUAAGCGGUCCUGCCUCUUAAGGCAGCUGUCCGCCGGGGGAGUAUCGCGGCCCCCGCUCGGGCAUCAUUUGAGCGAUGAACGUGAGCAGCCCUUUCGCACUUGAAGCUGCCAUGCAUUAAAGUGCUGCCCCGCGCCGCAGCCUGCCCUUCGGCGGCCGUGCGGGGGAGAUCCAAAUGAUCGGAUGCACCCGGAGAAAGCUGUAUCGAUGAGUUUUCGGACAGGGGUUCGAUUCCCCUCGUCUCCACCA